rnacentral:rRNA from 1 species
AUGACACCUGUUUCACGACCACUGAACACUGACAUUUUGCUAGUGUCCGAGCUUAUUGAUCCUCAUACUUGGUCGUGGGGGCAGGAUCUAGUCAGAAGUAACUUCACUUCCACAGAUGAUGCGGCCAUUCUUAACAUACCUAUUCGGUCGGGCGGUGGCAAUGAUUUUCUUGCUUGGGCAUUUGAAAAAACAGGCAAUUACACUGUCAAAUCAGCGUACCGAUCUCUUGUGACUCAGAACGAGCAUUUGGCUCUAGAGGAAGGGACGGCUACCGGAACUUCAUUGAGUGAUCAACAGUUGUGGAAAGCCUUGUGGAAGUUGAAUGUUAUCCCAAAAGUUAGAGUGUUU